CCGCCGCCGCUGCCCCGUCCCCGCCGCGCGGGGCUCCGGAGGGGCUCCGCCAAUAAACAAACAGCGGGGGUGCCCGAGGGAGAGGCCGCUGGGAGGAAGGCGAGAGGCAGCCGGACAGCGCGGCCCGGGGGCGCACGGAGCAGUCGGAUACCGGAGAGCGAGGAGCCGCCCCGGCCCGGGUGCCGCUCCCCGGCCGGCCCCUGCCCCGGGCAGCCCGCCAGAUGCUGCUGCCUGCCAUGAUGCUCUGUGUGAUUUGUGCCAUUCCCCAAGGACAAAGGGGAGAGAUCCUUGGUUUGGACAGGUCCUGCAGUGCCUCCUCCACCAGCCUCCCUCCACAGAAACCCAGUUGGGCCUUAACCGUGGCAGUUCCUGACCAGAGCUCUUAGUAACUGCUACAAUAUAAAGCAAUUUUUUUUUCUAGCUCUUAUAACUCAUCCUCAAGACUGAUCCAGUCCUUAUCUGCCUUGGCAUUAGCCAGGGGCAAAACUGGUAAUUUUUGUCCUGUAGUAGGUGUUGCAUGUGGACAGUGUCCAAGGAAGUCUUGCCAAAUGCCAUUGUCCUCCCAUAGUAGCCCUGGGUGUUUAGUUAUUCUGCAUAUUAAAUGUUUGAGGAAGAGUAA